ACUAAGCGUACACGGUGGAUGCCCUGGCAGUCAGAGGCGAUGAAGGACGUGCUAAUCUGCGAUAAGCGUCGGUAAGGUGAUAUGAACCGUUAUAACCGGCGAUUUCCGAAUGGGGAAACCCAGUGUGUUUCGUCACACUAUCAUUAACUGAAUCCAUAGGUUAAUGAGGCGAACCGGGGGAACUGAAACAUCUAAGUACCCCGAGGAAAAGAAAUCAACCGAGAUUCCCCAGUAGCGGCGAGCGAACGGGGAGCAGCCCAGAGCCUGAAUCAGUAUGUGUGUUAGUGGAAGCGUCUGGAAAGGCGCGCGAUACAGGGUGACAGCCCCGUACACAAAAAUGCACAUGCUGUGAGCUCGAUGAGUAGGGCGGGACACGUGGUAUCCUGUCUGAAUAUGGGGGGACCAUCCUCCAAGGCUAAAUACUCCUGACUGACCGAUAGUGAACCAGUACCGUGAGGGAAAGGCGAAAAGAACCCCGGCGAGGGGAGUGAAAAAGAACCUGAAACCGUGUACGUACAAGCAGUGGGAGCACGCUUAGGCGUGUGACUGCGUACCUUUUGUAUAAUGGGUCAGCGACUUAUAUUCUGUAGCAAGGUUAACCGAAUAGGGGAGCCGAAGGGAAACCGAGUCUUAACUGGGCGUUAAGUUGCAGGGUAUAGACCCGAAACCCGGUGAUCUAGCCAUGGGCAGGUUGAAGGUUGGGUAACACUAACUGGAGGACCGAACCGACUAAUGUUGAAAAAUUAGCGGAUGACUUGUGGCUGGGGGUGAAAGGCCAAUCAAACCGGGAGAUAGCUGGUUCUCCCCGAAAGCUAUUUAGGUAGCGCCUCGUGAAUUCAUCUCCGGGGGUAGAGCACUGUUUCGGCAAGGGGGUCAUCCCGACUUACCAACCCGAUGCAAACUGCGAAUACCGGAGAAUGUUAUCACGGGAGACACACGGCGGGUGCUAACGUCCGUCGUGAAGAGGGAAACAACCCAGACCGCCAGCUAAGGUCCCAAAGUCAUGGUUAAGUGGGAAACGAUGUGGGAAGGCCCAGACAGCCAGGAUGUUGGCUUAGAAGCAGCCAUCAUUUAAAGAAAGCGUAAUAGCUCACUGGUCGAGUCGGCCUGCGCGGAAGAUGUAACGGGGCUAAACCAUGCACCGAAGCUGCGGCAGCGACGCUGAUGCGUUGUUGGGUAGGGGAGCGUUCUGUAAGCCUGCGAAGGUGUGCUGUGAGGCAUGCUGGAGGUAUCAGAAGUGCGAAUGCUGACAUAAGUAACGAUAAAGCGGGUGAAAAGCCCGCUCGCCGGAAGACCAAGGGUUCCUGUCCAACGUUAAUCGGGGCAGGGUGAGUCGACCCCUAAGGCGAGGCCGAAAGGCGUAGUCGAUGGGAAACAGGUUAAUAUUCCUGUACUUGGUGUUACUGCGAAGGGGGGACGGAGAAGGCUAUGUUGGCCGGGCGACGGUUGUCCCGGUUUAAGCGUGUAGGCUGGUUUUCCAGGCAAAUCCGGAAAAUCAAGGCUGAGGCGUGAUGACGAGGCACUACGGUGCUGAAGCAACAAAUGCCCUGCUUCCAGGAAAAGCCUCUAAGCAUCAGGUAACAUCAAAUCGUACCCCAAACCGACACAGGUGGUCAGGUAGAGAAUACCAAGGCGCUUGAGAGAACUCGGGUGAAGGAACUAGGCAAAAUGGUGCCGUAACUUCGGGAGAAGGCACGCUGAUAUGUAGGUGAAGUCCCUCGCGGAUGGAGCUGAAAUCAGUCGAAGAUACCAGCUGGCUGCAACUGUUUAUUAAAAACACAGCACUGUGCAAACACGAAAGUGGACGUAUACGGUGUGACGCCUGCCCGGUGCCGGAAGGUUAAUUGAUGGGGUCAGCGCAAGCGAAGCUCUUGAUCGAAGCCCCGGUAAACGGCGGCCGUAACUAUAACGGUCCUAAGGUAGCGAAAUUCCUUGUCGGGUAAGUUCCGACCUGCACGAAUGGCGUAAUGAUGGCCAGGCUGUCUCCACCCGAGACUCAGUGAAAUUGAACUCGCUGUGAAGAUGCAGUGUACCCGCGGCAAGACGGAAAGACCCCGUGAACCUUUACUAUAGCUUGACACUGAACAUUGAGCCUUGAUGUGUAGGAUAGGUGGGAGGCUUUGAAGUGUGGACGCCAGUCUGCAUGGAGCCGACCUUGAAAUACCACCCUUUAAUGUUUGAUGUUCUAACGUUGACCCGUAAUCCGGGUUGCGGACAGUGUCUGGUGGGUAGUUUGACUGGGGCGGUCUCCUCCUAAAGAGUAACGGAGGAGCACGAAGGUUGGCUAAUCCUGGUCGGACAUCAGGAGGUUAGUGCAAUGGCAUAAGCCAGCUUGACUGCGAGCGUGACGGCGCGAGCAGGUGCGAAAGCAGGUCAUAGUGAUCCGGUGGUUCUGAAUGGAAGGGCCAUCGCUCAACGGAUAAAAGGUACUCCGGGGAUAACAGGCUGAUACCGCCCAAGAGUUCAUAUCGACGGCGGUGUUUGGCACCUCGAUGUCGGCUCAUCACAUCCUGGGGCUGAAGUAGGUCCCAAGGGUAUGGCUGUUCGCCAUUUAAAGUGGUACGCGAGCUGGGUUUAGAACGUCGUGAGACAGUUCGGUCCCUAUCUGCCGUGGGCGCUGGAGAACUGAGGGGGGCUGCUCCUAGUACGAGAGGACCGGAGUGGACGCAUCACUGGUGUUCGGGUUGUCAUGCCAAUGGCACUGCCCGGUAGCUAAAUGCGGAAGAGAUAAGUGCUGAAAGCAUCUAAGCACGAAACUUGCCCCGAGAUGAGUUCUCCCUGACUCCUUGAGAGUCCUGAAGGAACGUUGAAGACGACGACGUUGAUAGGCCGGAUGUGUAAGCGCAGCGAUGCGUUGAGCUAACCGGUACUAAUGAACCGUGAGGCUUAACC
rnacentral:rRNA from 1 species